GCUUCCCUGCUCCUCUCUCUCUCUCUGGCGAUUCCAGAUCUGGAUCUGGAUCUAGGGUUUUCCUCCAUGAAAAUUUCACCUGAUCUAUGAAGAUUCUGACCUCUCAGUUCUGAUUUAGGGUAUUUUUGGUGUUAUUGCUACCUUCGUCAAGGGUCAUGGUUUAAGGAAUGUGUCACGUUUCUUCAGAGAUUCCAGUCGGAAUCCUAGCCAAGAUAAUGGAUGCUCUAGGGUUUAUGAAGAAACACAAAGAUCCUCUUUAAAUGGCUUCCGAUA